rnacentral:rRNA from 1 species
GAUGAACGCUGGCGGCGUGCCUAAUACAUGCAAGUAGAACGCUGAAGGAAGGAGCUUGCUCUUUCCGGAUGAGUUGCGAACGGGUGAGUAACGCGUAGGUAACCUGCCUGGUAGCGGGGGAUAACUAUUGGAAACGAUAGCUAAUACCGCAUAACAGUAGAUGUUGCAUGAUAUCUACUUAAAAGGUGCAAUUGCACCACUACCAGAUGGACCUGCGUUGUAUUAGCUAGUUGGUGAGGUAACGGCUCACCAAGGCGACGAUACAUAGCCGACCUGAGAGGGUGAUCGGCCACACUGGGACUGAGACACGGCCCAGAAUCCUACGGGAGGCAGCAGGAGGGAAACUUCGGCAAUGGACGGAAGGCUGACCGAGCAACGCCGCGUGAGUGAAGAAGGUUUUCGGAUCGUAAAGCUCUGUUGUAAGAGAAGAACGAGUGUGAGAGUGGAAAGUUCACACUGUGACGGUAUCUUACCAGAAAGGGACGGCUAACUACGUG